UCCGGCAAAAAGCCAAUGGGCAGCAGGUGAGGUUUCUGCUGUGCUCUCCUUCCAGCAGAGCGUCCAUGCUCAGCAGUGACUAGACCUGCCCCUCAUCUCCAGCCCAGAGUCUGGUGUGUUUUCGCGGCACCUCAGCAGGACAACAAAAGACCGAGACUGCCAGCACCAAGUCUAAAACACCGGGGCAGUCUUCACCUGAUAAACCUGAAGUUAAUUAACUCCUCUGUGGCUCUCUGAGCGCCUAGUAUCUGAGAAGUAACAGAAAAACCUGCUUUUUUCAGAGAGAAAUAUCCUUCUCCAGAGAUUCAAGAAAGAAGAGCGCUCAGACAAGAUGCGGUGGUCAAUGUGUGUCUCCUGCUGGAAACGGCAUGGCUCUAAUUACUGCAGUUUCUCCAGAACUGAAGACGUGCUUUCAUUAAUUCAGCCAGACUGGGUGCUUCUCUUGCCUGACCAAGUUGGCUCAGGCUUUCAAAGAAAAGAGCUGGAUCGGGCUUCACCCUACGGGCAGACCCUGGAGCCAGAACAGGACCUGCUUAGCCUCAGUGGCCAUGGUUAGCAUAACGAGGGGAAAGCUGGCCAUAUAAUUCACUGCUCUGCUGAGUACCUGGAUGGAACAGGGUGUGCAAGUUUGGGGUGCAGCUGGUAAUCCUGGAGGGAGAGAAGAAGUCAUGUAUCUGGGGCCUUGUUGGGAGAACACAAAGAGAAAAAUACUUGGUGGGCCAAGGCUGGGAAGGGUCUUUGGAGAAGAGAAUGUGUAUUGGGAUUUGAAGUCAGCAGUGGUGUGUGAGCUGAGGUAAAUGUCCUUCUCCCACUCUCUAUUAAACCCUCAAUAAGGUCACACGCUCAGGAAUGUGUGUGUGAGAGAGACUGUGGGAAGAACCAGAGUGGUCAUAAUAAUGGUCAGAAUGGUAUUUGGUGGGGGAAGCAUCCGAUAUGUGCCAGGAACUAUGCAUUUUAUGGAUAAUCCCAUGUAAUCUAC